UCCCGUAACGGUUACUCCGUGGCUUCUAGGUGCCUCCCGUAACAGUUACUCAGUGGCUUCUAGGUCCCUCCCGUAACAGUUACUCAGUGGCUUCUAGGUCCCUCUCUCGGAAACCAGACUGACAUUCCUGAGGCUGCAGGGCAGGACAAGAAUGAGGAAGAAGAGAUUUGACCCAGAAUAAAGAAGCAGAAGGUGCAGCUUCACACCAUGCGACGCAGGCCCCACAGCCACGUUCCUCUCAAGGCUCAAAAUCAGGUCAAGAAUGAGGAAGAGAUUUGACCCAGAAUCAAAGAAGUUGCAGCUUCACACCUUGUGACUCAAGCCACACGGCCACGUUCCUCUCAAGGUGCAAAAUGAUCUCAACUUACAACAGCUUCACAUCUGAAUUAUUUCAUUUCACAGGGACUUUAUACCAAGGUUCUCCACGUUGCACAAAGAUCACUACACCUUCCAGAACCCUGCUCAGGAUGUCUCAGUCACGAUUCACAAUAGGAACGGGAAGUAAAAAGCAUUGAGACUGUUCCACUGACAAUUGUUUUACUUCUUUUUUAUCUUCAUUAGCCAGCAUCAGGCAACUUUAACCAACCUCCUAGGCAGUUGUCAGUGAUCACUGUCAUAUUAAAGUGCAUGUUAUAGAUUAUAAAUUACUUUCAUGUUAUUUUUCCUU